AGAGAGGUGGCCGAGUGGUCGAAGGCGCUACCUUGGAAAGGUAGUAUACUGGUAACGGUAUCGAGGGUUCGAAUCCCUUCCUCUCUACAA
rnacentral:tRNA from 1 species